GCCUUGUGGCUUGCCGUUCGGGCCCCUGCCAAGGGCGAACCCCGCGCCUUGCCAUUCACACUGCCGCCUAGAGCCUCGCCGCCAUGUCGGUCCUCGCCAAGGCUGCCGGGGUCUUCAAGUCGGUGGAUUACGAGGUGUUUGGUCGAGUGCAGGGUGUUUGUUUCAGAAUGUACACAGAAGAUGAAGCAAGAAAAUUAGGAGUAGUUGGCUGGGUUAAAAAUACCAGACAAGGAACAGUGACUGGCCAAGUUCAGGGCCCAGAAGAUAAAGUAAAUGCAAUGGGGCCAUCUCUGUACUGUGUUUUAUAUCCAAGUAAAAAAUGCAAUGAAAGUAAGAUUAAUUCUACAUGAAUGCAGAAACAUGCAGUAUAGCAAGCUAAAAAAUUCAUUUUCUAAGGUCUGGACCUCUGUGGCACAAAAUGGAGAACAGGAGAACAGUCUUUUGUUCCUGGUGCAACUUCACUGAUCCUGGAAGUUACACUAAGGAAAAACUGCUAAACUCAGGUUGGGCUGAGGUCUGCCAGACUGGAUUCUGUCUUUCACGUAGACCUAGUCCUUACUGGGAAAUUAAGUUAAAAUAUCACCCUGACUUCAGGGUAAACUACCAUGAUGUUAACCACUGAGUAAGGGAUUGCCAUGUUACAUAUUAUGUUAAGUGACCACAUCUAACAAACACAGCAUUAAAAAUAAAGUUUCUGUCUUUACAUUCUUCUGAGGGUAAUAUUCUAAUACAAUGGAAUAUUUCAAGUUAGACAAAUCCACAGAUGAUCACUACUUUAUAAAAAGGCUUAUAGGGUAAAUUGCAAUUCACUGCCCUCAGUUGGGUUGCUAGAAAUAGGUUGUUCUUACAAGUAAAAUUAAGUAAACAGUUUUGAUGAUGAUUUAAAAGAAUGAAUAGAAUCAAGGUCAUUGCUCCUUAGGUAUUUUCACUUACAGAACCAACAGAAGGAAGCAUUAAAAAGGCUUAUUUUUGUUGGUUUGCUACACUGAUAUGACUUUGAACACAAAUAAGCAGCAGAUCUGAUGUGCUGAAAAGUACACAUCAUAUAUAGCCACUUGUCAGAGUAAAAGCACGCUUUUAAACUAAAAAGGUAGCUAAGUAGCUAUACUUGGCUGAAAGAAAAGUCAGUGGUUCUUACAAAAAAUCUGGAGUACAUUCAAUAAUACUUUAUAUUAUUGUAUUAUUGUUUUUAGUAUUCUAUGGUAGUGCCUCCUGGUUCUAACUUCAAGUUUUCUUG